GUCUUGGUAGCUCUGUCGGUAGAGCAGCUGUACGUGGUUAACAAAAGAGCCUAGAAAUAAUGACCAGUAGGUCGCAGGAUCGAUGCCUGCGCGGGAUU